GUAGGCGAGGAGUGCCACAGUUCGCAGGUAAGUGCGACGUGUGCAGGUAAUUCGGUGCAAAUCCGAAACGGUUGCGCCACUGUGAUCGGCCGCCAGCCGAAAGUCAGAAAACUCACCGUCGUAGACGUUUCUAC
rnacentral:ncRNA from 2 species